rnacentral:rRNA from 1 species
AACGAACGCUGGCGGCAGGCUUAACACAUGCAGGUCGAACGGGUGUAGCAAUACAUCAGUGGCAGACGGGUGAGUAACACGUGGGAACCUUCCUAGGGGUACGGAACAACUCAGAGAAAUUUGAGCUAAUACCGGAUAAUGUCUUCGGACCAAAGAUUUAUCGCCUUUAGAUGGGCCCGCGUUGGAUUAGCUAGUUGGUGGGGUAAAGGCCUACCAAGGCGACGAUCCAUAGCUGGUCUGAGAGGAUGAUCAGCCACACUGGGACUGAGACACGGCCCAGACUCCUACGGGAGGCAGCAGUGGGGAAUAUUGGACAAUGGGCGAAAGCCUGAUCCAGCAAUGCCGCGUGAGUGAUGAAGGCCUUAGGGUUGUAAAGCUCUUUUACCCGAGAUGAUAAUGACAGUAUCGGGAGAAUAAGCUCCGGCUAACUCCGUGCCAGCAGCCGCCGUAA